UGAACUCCUCUACACUCAUGUGCUCUGACUGCCUCAGUUGCUCAAACUCAAUCAUUUUCAGUUCUCUAGAACUGUCUGGAAAAGCCCAUCCAGCGAACUCAUUCGCAAAUUCUUCCCAUGUCAUACCGUCUAGUCUCGGGUCCACAUAACACUUGAACCAUUCCCGUGCCUUCUUGCACUUUAGAGUAAACCCUGCCAUCUGAAUGGCCCUGCUGUCACUUGCCCCUAGC
rnacentral:lncRNA from 1 species